rnacentral:lncRNA from 1 species
CCAGAGCCCUAGAGAGCAGGGUGCUCCUUCAGACCCCAGGCCUUGUCUCUAGCCCUUCCUAAGUCAUCUCACUUCUCCCUACUUCUCACCUUCUGCCUUGGGUCCAACCUACUCCUAGGCUAUGAAGCCAUCCACCAGCCUUACCUAGGCACAGGCCAAUGCACUGCUGCCUGGGACAACAGGUCACUGCAGAACUGGCAUCACCCAAGAAUCCGAAGGACUCGGCUGAAUAAAGACCAUGAUCCGAAGUUAAAAGGAGUUUCAGUAGUCCCUCAAUGACCAACAGCCGACCUUAAGUUCACCACCAGAUGCUUCAUGACAAACUCACAAAGGCAAUAGCCACAAAGGGCCAACAACUUUCCCUGGGCAUCUAUCCAAGCCUGUCUUCAUGGUCCCUUCCAACAGCUGGACGUAUUGGCUGCCAGAUGUCCCUGAAACCGCAGGCUGCCUUACCUAUGUCAGGUAAUUUGGCUUCCCUGAUUGACCCAUCACUGAGAUCAUCACUAGCAGAAGGGAUACUGUUCCAGAACUAGCAGCCUCCAUUUCCUCCUCCUUGGGAUGUGUGUUGUGAGAAGCUCAUGUCACAUAAAAGGCAACAUGUGGGCACCUAAGCAGAUAAUCCCCAACUGAACACCCACUCAACAACUAGUGCCAACUGCCAUCCAUGAGCAUGCACCAUCUUGGAUGUUCCAGCCCAGUCAAGCCCCAGAUGACUGCAGCUCCAGCCAACAACACACGGAACAGAAGAACCACCCAGCUGAGCCCAGCCAAUCCCUGAGCCCAGGGAAUUAUGAUGAUGAAACUAUACCCUAAAGAGUUAAUGAAACCAAUGACAGAAAUUACUGAGUUUGCAGGAUAACAGAUAAGAAAAAAAAACAACUUGCUGAGAUGCUGAAAUUCCCUCCUCUUCUGAGUAUUUUUUUUUUUUUAACUCACAAGUUUUUUAAAAAGUUGGCAGUGGGCUAAAAUUAAUUGGAACCAGGAUGACCAACUGGAGAUUGUGCACAAGUUUGCUGACAUCACAGCCCAAAUUUCCACCACAUAUUUCAUACUAACUUCUCCCAAAUUUGCAUAUGCAACCUAUGAAGUAACAUAAAGAAAUAAGUACACACACCCAAGGACUUUCCAGACUUCCCCUUUCCCUCCACCAACCACCUGCUAAUCCCAGUAUCUACCCCCUAAGCCUUUCCUAAU